CCACACAAGAAGCACCCUGUCCCACUUAGCCCAUGCAGGAGGUGCUACAGCAGUUGCUCCUAGUUGUAGGGUCUUGGGACAGGACAUUCACCAAGUGUCUAGGGGUCACCCAGAGCAUUUGGCAGUGGCAGCUACAGGAUGAUGUGUUCCCAGGGCAGUGAGAGUAACAGCGUAUGGUGCUUGGUUGCAAUGCCCUCUUUUUUUCUUUUUUUCCAACCCCUGAGGUGACUGGGGUCGCUGGAGGAGCCCACUCACGGGCCCCCCGGUGGUGGCAAGCUACGCCUCCCUCUGGCCUCUGAGAUGACUGCCACAGUUUGUUCCUGCCACCUGUGGAUCAUGCAAGCGGCACCUUGUCUCACUUAGCCCUCUUAUGCCCUUAGCCCACACAAUAGGUGCCUGGCCACCCGCAGCCUGCACAAGAUUGGUGUAAUCUCCCUUAAACGAGCUUCUCCCAGCCCAUAGCCUUGCAGAGCCGCCCCGCCCUCUAAGCCCUCGGGGCAUGCGCGCUCAGGUGCAGGGAGUUUCCUAGGGCAGCGGCCCCUCCUCCACUCCCCUCCCCAACAAUGGCGCCCUGCCUCUCCUGCACGUCCAGACCUUCUCCUGGGUUCCCUCUGCUGAGGUGUUCCCCUCCUUAGCCCGUGGCCCUCUGCUCCUUAGCCCCCCAUGCCAUCCCCAGUUUUCUCCCAUCCCCAGUUUUCUCCCCUGAAAAGACCUUCGGAGACUGCGUCUCAGCGCCCAGCCGCCCUUGGAACAUCUCAGGCUGUGGUUUCCGGUAGGUGGUUCCGCUGAUCCGUGAAGCUCUCACUCUGCUUUGCGGCUCUCAGUCCAGCUGCUCCGCUUUUCUCCGCGACUUCGAGGUCCCUCGGACUCAGCCGAUCUUUCGUGGGUUAGCUGGCUUCCCAGGAGAUGGUGGUCAAGGAGAGCAUGAACUCACGAACCCUGAAUGCUAAGUCAGCUUCUGUCAGAUGCUCUACAUACGUGACCUAACUUAAUCCCGACUGGAAGACUUGGACAUGAAACAAGGAAACACAGCUCUUGAGGAUGGUGCCAUGUCAUCUUCUUUGCAUUUCUAGGACCAGCAGAGUCUGGGAACAUAUGAGAAGCCCCUCAGGCAUUUGUUGGAUGAGCUAUGGACUAUAGUGAAGUUGGAUGUCAGCUGUAAUUGCUCUGGCUAUAUUUGUACCUCACUCUAAUUGUAUUGGAUUAAGUUGAAUAUAUUCAGAAAGCUGUUCAAACAAUAAAUGUGACUUUCUCUCUCAUAAUCUCUGCCAAUAAGAAAAUUAAUCAGAGUGAACUGUAGAAAUAAAGGAAAAUUGACUAUAAAUUACUCAUUCUAAAAACUCCUCUGGCACAUUUGGGUUUUACUUAUUCACUUUUAUCACCUGACACUUAGCACCUGCUAUGUGCCAAGGCCCUCAUUUAGCACUGGAAACUUCUGUGUACCAGCCAUUGUGCUAAAUGUUUGUGAAUAAUGUCCCACUUAGUUUUAUAAACGUCUGACAGGCUAAUAUAGCUUAUCAUGGUUACUUAUGGCCCAACCAGCAUUCGUUUUCCCUCUUUUUGGAAACAUGACCUGAAGUUUCCUGUGCAGAAUUACCCUUUCUUUCUUCCUUGUCUAUAUGUUUGUUCAAUACUAACUUCCGCUUUGGGGGCAGUUGUGUGACAUAGAUAUUAGCCAAUGGGUGUAUUUUAUUUCCUUAGCUGUAGUGAUCAUUUCAGGGAUGGAUACUGGAUACAGUUCAAGCCUAUCAAUAUCAGGCCUGAGACUUCUGGUGAAACUAUUGAAAAAAGAACACUUGUCUUUCCUGUUGUACUUGAAACUGCAAGACCAGAUUAGGAGCAGAUCAAAGCUUCACUUUCUACAAUAUAUAGAGCCUGAGGAAGACUCAGCAAAGAGGAUAUAAAAGCCAAAAGAUGGAGGAAGAUUGAAAUUUAACAGCAUCAUUGGAGCCUCUGGGUCAAGUUAUACCCGAAAUGUUUUAAACUUCUGGGAUUUUCAGUUUGGAAAGCCAAUACAUCUCUUUUUUUCUCAAGCAUUUGUUUUGGGUCUUUUUUUUGGGAGGAUCAGAGUCCCAGUUGAUUUUCAUAGAUAUUAUAAAUUUCAUUAUAGAGAUAAGGGAAUUCAGCAUUAAGUAAUUUACCUAAGGUCACUUAGCAACCAUUUGUCUUAGUCAGAAAUUGGAUAUAGGUCUUUCCUUUUUUUCUUUUACUCCAAAGGUAGUUUUUUUCAAUCAAUAUACUCUCUAGUCCAAUGGUGAUUUAAAAGCUCGUCGUCUAGACUGAGACUUAAACCCAUAAAGAACUCACAAAAGUGCAAUGGGAUACAUGAUAAAAGGGCAGAUGGAAUGGACCAGGCGUCAAGAGAUGAGUCAAAAGAGGGAAAGUUCCAGAGAGAAGCUGCCUCCAUGUGUUGGGUGAGAAGUUCAGUGCAGCUACAACAAAGGGCCCUUAGGGAAGUAUUAAGAGAUACCAAAGAAGGGGUUAGGGUCAAAUUCUGCAAGGUCUCAUAACCAAAGUCAUGGGCAGAAAAGGGAGAAAGGUGUCAAUCUGCAAAACGGGGGCUUCCUAUCUUCUGUAAACCACAGCAGUUACGAAACUAGGGCUGUUGAGAAAAAAAGGACUUGAUUUCCUAGUAUUCAACUGAGGCAGAAGCAUAAAUUUCUUCUAUUUUAUUUUUUAAUAUUGAUCACAUUUUAAGAAAAUUAAUAUAAUCAUAAUUUAUUUCAUAGAAUUACUUGGAAGGAAAUUUAAGACACAAUUUACCUUAUCCUCCAACUCUGAUCAAUAGAAAUGACUUUCCCACGUUCACCUGGUAAUUUAGCGGCAGAGCUGAGACAGAAACCAGGUCUCCUGACUUUUAUUCAAUUGCUCUUUUUUUUUUUUCUUCCCUGUUAUCUCUCUGGUUUUCAUGUUAUUCUUUAAGGAAUUCUCUCUUGAGAUGGAAGGCUGAGACUGUGUAGGGAGGAAAGGGUGUAAGGAUGUGAAAAUCAGGAAGUGAGAGAAGCUGAUGGAAGCAGGUUACCCAGGUGAAGUGUGGGGAGGUAAGAACAAGGUUGAGAAGUGAUGUCAGCUGCAGGGUAAACUGAAUCAGUAUAAUGAUACAGGACUCCAGGAGAAAAGGGCUUGAAUUGUCACAUGUUAAAAAGAAUUCUUUCAACCCACUGUGUCUAACAGUAGAUUUAAAAAGACGAAAUAGCACACCAAACUUUUACAUAAAAGUAUUGUCCAUUCUUUGAGAGGUUUAAACACCUAUUGUCAUUCCCAUAGUACUGCUUUUCACCUGGUCCUGCUGUCUUUUAUUGCAUCUCCCCUCCUGGCAUUUGUAAGCUGUCUUUUCUUUGAAUUAGUGAAAGCAACAUUUUCCAAAGAAAGUGUUAACAGCAUUUCUUUGAUAUCAGUCAUGUGCUUUCUGCAAAGUAAAGAGUCAAAAGGGACAGGGCAACCCUUUGAGCAGCGGGAGUCCUUGACUCAAUGACUGUACUUCUUGGUAGAGCUUUUCAGCUGGCCAUGUUUUCAAUAAAGGAGAUCAGCUGGAGAGAUUCCAUCUAUUGUUUGAGAUGCUGUUUUAAAGUGAAAAAGAGAAUCAUUUUGAAGAGGCAGAUAUUUACUUUAAAAGGGCAAAAUAUCUUUUACCUAAAUAUAAGACAAUCUGCAGCUCCUCUGUAUGGCAGGGUGAGUACAGUAGAAAAAUAAAAGCAAAAUCUACAGACUCAUAAAAUGUUCCUCAGGAGUACCCACAGGAGGAUUGAAUAAACUGGGACUGGAAUAGGUUAUACAUACAAACACUGGGCAACCAAGGAUUAUAAGUGUUUUAAUUUAAUAGAAAACAAUGUUAUCAGUAGGCAACACUUUGGAAUAUUGGAAAUCCUAUUCAAUAUUUGGCAGAGAAGUUGAGACACUGCUUAUCCCUUGAGAGCUAGGAUAUAUGGAUAAGAACAAAGUGGCAAGGAAGGCAGAAUGAAGAGUUGCAGGGCUAAGAUACUCCAAGAAAAAGUAUAUUUAGGUUUGGCAGGUAAGUCUCCAAAGACUGAUCCAAAGGGCACAGAGUUUAAAGAGAUGGUAGAUUUCUUGUGAACUUGGGCUCAAAGUUAAAGAAAGGAAAGAAUCUGGGGCAUGAUAGCAAAAACUACUUUUUGAACUUGGAUGGAGAUAUUAAUCUAAAUUUAUUCCAUUUAUGGAGUUCCCCUUGUGGCACAGAGGAAAUGAAUCCGACUAGUAUCCACGAGGAUGUGGGUUCAAUCCCUAGCCUUGCUCAGUGGGUCAGGGAUCAGGU